UACGUAGGGCGCAAGCGUUGUCCGGAAUUAUUGGGCGUAAAGAGCUCGUAGGCGGUUUGGUAAGUCUGGUGUGAAAUCUCCACGCUCAACGUGGAGGGGCCACCCGAUACUGCCAUGACUGGAGUCCGGUAGAGGAGUGUGGAAUUCCCGGUGUAGCGGUGAAAUGCGCAGAUAUCGGGAGGAACACCCGUAGCGAAGGCGGCACUCUGGGCCGGUACUGACGCUGAGGAGCGAAAGCGUGGGGAGCAAACAGG
rnacentral:rRNA from 1 species